UUUUCGGGCAUAAUUUGAACA
rnacentral:piRNA from 1 species